AACUGCAGUGACGUCAGUGAUCUGAUAUGUCAUUUUGUGCCACAUCAUGAGCUCCAUUCAGACAGGAUUAGUGUCUGCAGGGGAGAUCAGAGGGAGAAAACGCUGACGUUACUGAGCUCUCCUUCGCAUGGAGAGUUGCCAACCAGACUGGGAAACUUCUGAACAUUGUGCCUAAAAUGUACCUGUUGAAAUAGAGGGUGAAAAUGCUGAAGUCAGAGAUCUCUCUAGCAUGGAGAAUUGCCAUCCAGAAUGGGAAACUUCUGAACAUUGGGUCUAAAAUGUAUCUGUCAAAACAGAGGGAGAAAACACUGAAUAUCCAGUGCAGCAAUCGGUGGUCGGGGUGUGCUUGGGUGAAUUUUCUUUUAAAUAAAUGUUGUUUAUUUAUUGGCAGCUGGGGUGAGAUAUGCAUUAAGUGUAAACACAUUGAAGGUUUCAUGUUGUCUUUUUAAAGAAAGGGGAAAUAUUGUUCUAUAAAAAAAUCAGAAACUGAGAAAACCAAGUGCCAUGUACCCGUCUUCUCUCUUUGUGGGAUCAGUAAUUGUCUACAGCCUAUAAAGAUAAGGAUGAUAGUAAAGGAAAAAAAAUGUUAUGCAUAAGAUAACUAUUGUGCCCUAUUCAGAACCAGGACAUUACUUUUGAGAUCAUAGUUGUGGUCUUAGACCUUGAGAUACAUUUUUAUGUUUCGUUGUGACCAGGUAGUUUUGGUGAAGACUUUGUUACAUGUCCUCAAUUUCUUCUUUACAAUCUAUGUUGCAGUUGGAGGAGCCUGAGAUAACUUUUUUUUAUAAUAAUUUGGACAAUAAAGUUAAUGAACUAGCUUGCUAACUAACAUGUACAACCUUGUUAAGUACAAAUAAUACCCCGAGAAACCAAUCCUGUCUGACUGGGAUCAGACAGACAAACUCAGCAUUUCUGUACAUUUUUCGGCUUUAAAUUAAUUCAGACUAAGAAUCAAAGACUUUUAGUUGUGAGGAGAGUUAGAAGAGUUCAGGACUGUUUCAUCACCUACUUAAAUAAACUCACAUUUAUGAUUACAUGUAGUAUCAGUAUAUUCUGUAUGUCUAUAUGUACUAUACAUGACUGUACAUGUGUAUAUAUAUAAAUACAGUGGAGCUGUUUGUAUAUGUGAUAUGUCAUGCCUGUGCUUUAAGUGCAGUACAGUUUGUUCAUGUACAUGAUGGUACAUUUAUGUAUUUUA